AGCCGGGAAUCCUGCUGGAUCCGGGAUGCUCGCACUUUCGAGGACUCCGAUGGCCACAGGUUAUUGGAACCAUGCUGAAAAGGAGGGGAAGAGGAGAGAGAACAGACGCAACUACAUUUGACCCAUCUGAGAGAGGUACGAAACGCAGACCAUAAACUCAACAAUCCAGGGCUAUAUGCUCAUCACUGGCAGAACGCAGACCAGAGACAAAAUUUGCAGGCCUGAUGAACGAAGAACAAUGGCGGUUCGAAGAGCGGGGAAAGCCUUUAACAGGCGGGGGGGGGGGUCUUUUUGCUAAAAAAAAGACUCAGCCCUGUCGGUGGGUGUGAACUGGCCUCCUCUGGACUAUCGACGGGAUACAAGCUGGAAAGCAAACGCAGCAAUACAAACAAGACACAGCACGAUGGCCCAGGCUUGCCUGGGUACACAACACACACUUUUUCAAAUUCACGAAGCAGGAGAGAUACGCAUAACGACGUAAAACAAAAAGCCAAAGCAGGAUGCAAAUAAUCAAAGUGGAGCCCCACAAUUCAGGAAAAGGUUAUUAUUAUGCCCAACGGUACAAAAGACUUGUAUUGAAAUAAAGUGAACAAGCGCUCAAUAAA